UGGGAGGUAGGACAAUGGGCUAGUCUACUACAUUUGGGAUGUAGAGGUUGCGAGUUCGAAUCUCGUCCUCCCAA
rnacentral:tRNA from 1 species